GACGAACGCUGGCGGCGUGCUUAACACAUGCAAGUCGAACGAAGUGGCGAACGGGUGAGUAACGCGUAAUCAACCUGCACUUCAGAGGGGGACAACAGUUGGAAACGACUGCUAAUACCACAUACGUAAGAGGGGCAUUGCGUCUGAUUAGCUAGUUGGCGGGGUUACGGCCCACCAAGGCGAUGAUCAGUAGCCGUUCUGAGAGGAUGAACGGCCACAUUGUGACUGAGACACGGCCCAGACUCCUACGGGAGGCAGCAGUGGGGAAUCUUCCGCAAUGGACGAAAGUCUGACGGAGCAACGCCGCGUGAGUGAUGACGGCCUUCGGGUUGUAAAGCUCUGUUAAUCGGGACGCGGUACCGGAAUAGAAAGCCACGGCUAACUACGUGCCAGCAGCCGCGGUAAUAC
rnacentral:rRNA from 1 species